rnacentral:rRNA from 2 species
UGUACCUAGUAAUAUAGGGGAGGGGGWCWACUCUUUUUACUAUAUGAGAUUAACUGAGUUAAUUAAAAUUCUAAGUGGAUAUAUGAUUAUGACAAUAUUUGCUUAUUUCUUGACCAAGACACGUGCCAGCAGUCGCGGUAAUACGUGGAAGAUUAGUGUUAUUCAUCUUUAAAAGGUUUAAAGGGUACCUAGACGGUUAAUUAAGCACUGAUAUGUACUAAUUAACUAGAGUUUAAUGUAAGAAGGAUUGAGUACGGUGAGUGUAGAGAUAAAAUUUUGUGAUACCACUUAGGAACUGGUAAAGGCGAAGGCAACCUUCUAUGUAAAAACUGACGUUAAGGGACGAAGGCUCGUAUUAAAUAACAGGAUUAGAUACCCCAGUAUUGUGGGCAGACAAUGAUGAGUGUCAUAUGUAAGAAAAAUUUUUUUGUGUAUAAAUGAAAGUGUAAGCACUCCACCUCAAGAGUAACGUGGCAACAUGGGAACUGAAAUCAUUAGACCGUUUCUGAAACUCGUAGUGAAGUAUGUUGUUUAAUUUGUAGUCACGCAAAUAACCUUACCACAAUUUGUAUAACUAUUUUAUAAAAUGAUUUAGUUACAAGCGUUGCACGGC